rnacentral:rRNA from 1 species
ACUACGGGAGGCAGCAGUGGGGAAUAUUGCACAAUGGGGGAAACCCUGAUGCAGCAACGCCGCGUGAGUGAAGAAGUAUUUCGGUAUGUAAAGCUCUAUCAGCAGGGAAGAAGAUGACGGUACCUGAGUAAGAAGCCCCGGCUAACUACGUGCCAGCAGCCGCGGUAAUACGUAGGGGGCAAGCGUUAUCCGGAUUUACUGGGUGUAAAGGGAGCGUAGACGGUGAGACAAGUCUGAAGUGAAAGCCCGGGGCUCAACCCCGGGACUGCUUUGGAAACUGCCUGACUGGAGUGCGGGAGAGGCAAGCGGAAUUCCUAGUGUAGCGGUGAAAUGCGUAGAUAUUAGGAAAAACACCAGUGGCGAAGGCGGCUUGCUGGACAGUAACUGACGUUGAGGCUCGAAAGCGUGGGGAGCAAACAGGAUUAGAUACCCGGGUAGUC